AACCUAGCACACCUGCGGUGUGUACCUGCGGAGGGAUCAUUACUGAGUUAGGGUCUUUUGGCCCGACCUCCAACCCUUUGUUUACUAUACCAUGUUGCUUUGGUGGGCCUGCCUUUCGGGGCUGCCGGGGGUAUCACCGCCCCUGACUCGUGCCUGCCAGAAGCCUUCUCAAAUUCAGUGUUCAACGGUGCUGUCUGAGUCCCAAUAUCAAUAUCAAAAACUUUCAGCAACGGAUCUCAG
rnacentral:misc_RNA from 1 species